GCGGCCGUGGCUCAGCCUGGACAGGGCGCGGGUCUUCGGAACCCGUGGUCGCGGGUUCAAAUCCCGCCGGCCGCUCCA
rnacentral:tRNA from 1 species